UUUCUGCCUUUUUUUGUUGUUGUUGUUGUGGUUGUCCUUUGUUUAUACGGUUACUUUUUUAAAACAAAUGGUUUCUAUUCUGGUUUAAUUUGCAUUUUAGGCUGCAUUUUGGGAUUGAUUGUUAUUUUGUUUGGAUCCGACACAGACCUCCCAUUCCAAGUGCCCCUGGGGUUAACAACUUGAGGCAGCUCCCAUUUAGUCUGAAUUGGGCUGAACUGCAAUGUAAACUUUGGGCAGGCCAGCCUGCUUCCCAGAUGUUUCUGACCGUGGUUUUUCAGACAGUCCCUCUUCCCAAAAUCAUCUGGGGGAUGUUCUCAGUGUGGCAACAUGGCCAGGAACUUGGAUGUAAUCCCUCGCAUCUGAAAGGGCAGCAGAUGCCCUCCCAGCAUUUUUUAUCAGCCAUAACCCAAUCUCCGUGCAGUAUCUGUCCUAAUUGCUCAUAACUAACAUACCACGAGCAAGGAUCAGCUCUCUGCUUACAGGAGCAACAUGUUUAUGUUUCAUUUCAUGGCAGCAGCAGGAGAGGCUGGCUGCCUAUGCUACAUCUGCUUUCUCCAUGCUGGCAAAUAGCCGCCCGUGCUUCUCAGAGCAAUCCAAGGAGAAAAGCCCCUUUUCCCCAGCUUCUCCCAGAAUUUUCCUUGAAAUUACAAGGGACAGAUUUUGUGUUGCCCUCUUGGCAGGGUUGUGCUUCAGCGCUGUGGAGUCCCGAGUAGCAGUUAGAGGUUAGCUUUACAAUGGCUAUUCCUAAGCAGUUUUAUUAUCUUUUUUCCCCUGCCACAGCCCCCCGACACAGGCAGUCUCACAGAUGCCAUGUGCCUAGGGCCAGCUCAACCCACCACGCCAUUUGCAGGCGCCAAUUACAGCCCAGGUCUCGGGAAGUGGAGAGGAGUUCACAGUUACAAAUCGAAGAUGGAUUUGGGAAGAAAAGUUCUUGAAUCCUGCCCCAUUUCCACGGACAGAAUAAGGGACACAACUUAGAUCAGGAGCUGAAGGCACCUCGCUUGCUUCAGCUUGCUUCAGCUUACCCCCAUCAUCCAGUGUCCUGCUGCCUCGUUGAGCCCAAGGCACAGGAGCAGAAUGAUCUGACGGGAGCUGCUUUAAUACUCCCAGCCUGACUGGGAAGCAUCAGAAAUCUCGCAGAAGACUUGUGAUAUUUCCAGUUCACUUCCAAGCCAGAGUGGUUUGAAGAACUUCCAUUGGGCACUCUGAACAAACAGCGAUGAGGCUCAGCAGCUCUCCUUGGCC
ensembl:lncRNA